rnacentral:misc_RNA from 1 species
AUUGGUGGAACUUGUCUGUCUUGAGAAUAGGAUUGAUUAUCUCAACAAUUUCUUAGAGGAAAACAGUGAACUUUAGUGAUAGGGUACGGUCAGGAGCAAUUUGAAAAAUGAGUGUUAUUUAUUAGUGGUGAUAAAGAAAAUAUAAUAAUGUAUAGCCCAAACUUUACAGUUUUAUUUUAUUUUAUGCGUAUUAUCAAGUGUUAAUCUAGCAAAUAGUGCAUCAACUGAUAUAGAGCUUGAUGCAAAGGCACAACUAACACAUCGUUUGGACAGCCUUAACCUGUUUAUUGUAUACAUUUUUAUUAAUUUUAACAGUUCUUACAAUAUGGUUGUUCAAACACCGAAGAUUGAGAUUUCUUCACGAAACAGGCCUUGCAGUGAUAUAUGGUCUGAUUGUGGGAGCUUUCAUCCGCUACAUUGGUAGUUCAACUCCCGUUCUUCACAUGGCUGUCCAGCCAGAGCGAACUGACCGGUACAACAUGUCACUGCCACCAGACAGUCUGUGGCUGCGGUUCUCCAACAAGGGUGCAUCGGGGCCUGUUGUCAACAAGACCUAUGGAUAUGUUUUCCGUGGAGAGAUAGUCGACUUGGAGGACAACGAGAUUGAUCUGAAGGCAACAUUUGAUCCAGAAAUCUUCUUUAACAUUAUACUCCCACCAAUAAUCUUUCAUGCAGGCUACUCUUUGAAAAGGAAAUAUUUUUUCCGCAAUUUGGGUGCGAUCCUGACCUACGCAUUGAUUGGAACAACAAUCUCAUCUUUUGUUGUUGGGUCACUGAUGUAUGGCUUUCUCCAGCUGAUUCCACACCUCAAGAGCAGUUUCACAUACUUGGAUAGUCUGUAUUUUGGUGCCCUGAUCUCUCCCACCGACCCUCUUACAAUCCUAGCCAUCUUCAAUGAUCUGCGAGUGGACGUCACUCUCUAUUCUCUUGUGUUUGGUGAGAGUGUGCUCAACGACGCAGUGGCCAUAGUUCUCAGUGGGGCCAUCCAGAACUAUGCUGAGAGGUACCAAACAGGUGCAGGAGGCUUCGAGAUUGAUGCGUUCUUCCGGGCGAUGAAGGAUUUUGUGGGGAUUUUCUCUCUGUCUCUGUUUAUCGGUGCUACCAUGGGCUGCAUUACGGCUCUCAUGACCAAGUUCACCAGGGUCAAGGACUUCCCACUGCUUGAGUCAGCUCUGUUCGUGCUCAUGUCAUACAGCACGUUUCUCAUUGCAGAAGCUUCAGAUUUAACAGGUGUGGUAGCUGUGCUGUUCUGUGGGAUAUGUCAGGCGCACUACACUUACAACAAUCUUUCGAGGGACUCUCGCAAACGCACCAAGAGACUGUUUGAGCUGCUUAACUUCCUGGCGGAGAACUUCAUCUUUUGCUAUAUUGGAGUCUCUAUGUUCACAUUUCCCAAACACCAUUUUGACCCAGGAUUCAUUCUUUCUGGCUUUAUUUGUGCAGCAUUGGGUCGAGCUGCAAACAUCUACCCUCUCUCAUUUCUCAUAAACCUUGGGAGGAAACCAAAGAUUGAAAUGAAUUUUCAGCACAUGCUCUUUUUCGCAGGUUUGAGAGGUGCCAUGUCGUUUGCUCUGGCCAUCCGCAACACUUUAUCAGAUGCCAGGCAAGCCAUGCUGACCACCACCUCUAUAAUUGUGAUAGCCACUGUAAUUAUACAGGGUGGUGCAACCAUGCAACUCCUCACUUGGUUCAGGAUACCAGUGGGAGUGGAGGAGGAGGUGGAGAUGCUGCCAUACACUGGACCACGUAGUGCUUCAUACAACUCCUUUGGACAGGUCGGCCAGGAGGAGCCAGGUGCAGGUGCUCGGAGCGGUGCAGGAUCACACGACAAGGCGUGGCUGGCCAAGGUGUGGGGGGAUCUGGAUGUACGGUACAUGAAGCCCCUGCUGACUCAUGCCCGCCCCACCCUGUUGGAGACUCUGCCAGUCUGCUGUACGCCCCUGGCCAGGCUGCUCACCACCACUGAGCAACUCACUCAGGAGAGAGCUCACAGGUCAGGAUCAGAUUCAGACCUGUGCCUAGAAGAGACUGAGAUGAAUGUGGGGGGUGGUGAUCAUGUGUCCACCUUUCCUCAACACAGGGAGGAUGGAGACAUGCACAGCCAGCUCAGUGUUGAGGCCCACAACUUCAUGUAGACUGAGUGCGGUGGUGAUUAACCCUCUGAGAUUUUAUCCAUCAGAUGGAGUUUUGCCUUAAAUCUGACACCUCUGUUCUCUAGUGAAGAUCUCCCGUUAUCUGGAGGCCGUGACACGAAACUCCAUCUCCUAGGACCUCUGG